UUUUCCCUUCCUAAAAAAAUGAAUUGAUAAAAAAAAUAAACUGUGGAUAAAUACAAUCAUUACAGUUAUUGUGCUUCAGUUAAUCAAAAACUAGGAUUAAUGAAAAUCAUUAAAAGUCCUUCUUUUCUCUAAAAUGAGAUGUACCUGUAUCAUUUGAUCCAUCAGUUGACAAGGUGUAUGGCCUGUUUCUCAUCUUUUUGACCAGCUCAUCAUGAAGGUAUGGUGCUAUAGCCCUGUUGAUAAUACAAGUAGUCUUGGUCCUUGCAGCACCAUAUCUCUGUGCCACAUCUGAAUCCUUAAAACACUCUUUCAUCAGUGGGCUGAAGUGGUCAGCAACUGCAAGGGGGACAUUGUGAUUUACCAUCGUCACAGCAACUUUGAUCUCAGCUCGUCGUGCCUGAAAACAAAGUAUAAAAAAAGAAUACUUUUACAGUCAGAACAAAAAGCUGUUUCUGUGGUUAGUCUUCCAGUGUAACAAAUGGGAAAAGUACCAGUCAAAUGUCUUUGCCAAUAUCUUCUGUACAAGAAGAAAAUAAUUUGGGAAAAACAAAAUGUUAAAGAAGUUAUUCAUUCAUACCUUUGCCUCAAGUUGUGUCAUGUUAUCCACCUUUGGAGCUGUGUUCACUGUAAAUUUGGUAAUUUGCUGCGAUUGCUCCACUGCCUUGACCUUCCUCUGGUAUGACUCGCUCUCUAUGUGACGCUCCACAUCUGCAUGGCCCAUAUGGUAACAAACAUUCUCAGUUCUGCAAAUCUCACACCAAAAAUGAUGCUGCGUGAGUACCUUCUUAAUAAAGGGCCAUUCUGUUGUCCACCCAGGCUUGAAUUUGGACUGUACUUCAUUGCUUUUAAAUGUUUUCAGAAUUGUGUGUGUGGCUACUGAUGCCAGUGGAAGUAUGGAGUCCUACGUGGGACAGCUAAACUCAGAUGUGAACCUGGAACUCCAGGCAGAAGUGUGAGGAUAGGGUACCGCCCUUAGCACCAGGAGUGCAGCUGCUUCCUAUACACCCUUUAAAUGCCACACUGGAGCCCCUACAAAAUAUAAUCCUGGAUGGGCAACUGGAGUCAAAGGACCCUGACACAGAGGAGCCGAAGAAAAGGAAAGGUGGUUGGCCGAAAGGAAAGAAAAGAAAACCGACCAAGGAAUUUUCUGCUCCUCGCCCUCCUACUACAGGAUAUGUAAUAUUUGUCAAUGAAAGUCCAUCUGAAGGCCGAACACUGAUAUUCCCUUUAUUGAAAUCACCAAGAUGUUGGGCACUCUGUGGUCUCAACUAUCCCAGGACGAAAAACAGAAGUACAAUGAUGCCGCAGAGAAAGACAAGCAGCGCUUCAUCGAGGAGCUGAAGGCCUAUCAGAACUCCGAGGCGUACAAGGCCUUUCUGAAAAGAAAAGCUCUUCAUAAAGUGAAGCUCCUCUGAGGUGUUGAAAUGGUGGAUGCUGAGUUUGAAAAUGAGAUUGUUGCUCUGCCACAUAUGGAUGGGGUGACACCAGUGACUUGUACUGCAGGACGUGCAAUCAGUAUUUCAGCUCUCUGCAUAAUAAGAAGGAGCAUCUCCUGGGGAAGCAGCAUUUACAGAAUCUGACAGAGGAGUUUGAGAAGGAGACUGUGGGGCUGUGUAAGGAGCAGCAGCAGCAGGAGGUUGAGGAGAUGCUGGAAGCGAGGGACAAAGACCUGGAGGAGGAAGAUGAUGAAGAGGAAGCUGCAGUGGCAGAGCAGGACCAGCUUUGUGGACUUGCUUCCCAGUACAGCUUCACCUCACUGGACCCCGGCUUCCUGCAGGAGUUCAUGUUCAGACAGAUGACGUUGAGACAAUUUGAACUCCGUGAAUUAAACACUAGCUUGGAAAAAGCUAUGGAAAAGCAUGACAAUUUAAAAAGGCAACUGGAAGAGCUGCAGGCUUGGACAGACGCUGUGAUGCUACAACAGAUUGAAUUCAGGAAGAAGAGGAAGGCUGGCACCUUACAUUGCAAAAGGUUUUAGGAAAAGAAUGUAGGAGCCCCGAGAUGGGGGACUGGUUAGCUUUUGACAUAUCUUAUUUGCCUGACUGUCUUUAGAUGUGUUUUGCCCUAGAAGUCAACCUGAGAAUCACCCCACAAAUACUGCUGAUGCAGACUACAGGCCCUGCUAAUACCUCUAACAGCACUCGUAUGUCAUCCAGCUGCUAAUGGCUGAUGCAUUACAUGUGUAGCAGUUUUGAAUGUGUUAAUUUAGUAUAUAUUUAUCACGUGCUCUGUAAGAGAGAGUAUUUUUUGCACUUUAUGCGACAUUAUAAAUAGUAUAUGUCUUUUGUUAAUUGGAGUUUGGUUGAAAAGCACUGUGUAUUGUUGAUGUCAACCAGUAUUUGAAGGAGCUGCUUGGUUGUUUUCUAUGUCUUGGUAAUGCCCAAUGCGUGGCCCUUUAUAACCCACUGUAGAAUGUUCACAAGACAUUCACCCCUGCAAGUUUACACCAUUUUUUGUGACAGGGAAAAACAAACUACUAGAGAUGUCCAAUUAAACAACUGGUGUUAACAUGUAAGCACUGGGGUAAAUGCCUUGUGAAUAUGACCCAUUCAAGCCAGUCUUAAAUGACCAUAGUUGCAUAAGUAAUUUAUGUUGUGUUGCAGGGAUCUGUUGCCAUUUUCAUUUCUCUGAUACUAGAAAAGAACAAUUUGGCAUUGAUGGGGCCUCUUUAAUACAUUAAUCUAACUGCUCCUACCAACACCAAAGUUUUUUGUUUUGUAAAACAGCCAAUUUGUAAUCAUUAGCAAUCAAGUGAUGUAGUAUUAGAAACUCAGAAUUGGAAAAUAUACAGUGAAGAAUGCCUGAUGAGUCAUGAAGAAUUAUGUCAGGAGUUUGCAUGGCUCACUACAUAUAAUUCAGGGCAGUGAUUAGGCACACAGCUGGGAUUUAUUAUACUAUUCAUAUAGGGCAGCAUUGUGAACAAAAUAACUGGGGAAAGAGAAAAGGCAGCUCCAUGGUCAGUGAGAUACAGUACUUGGGGGUUUUAGCCACUGGUUCAGCUCCAGUCGUCCAUUAGAGCCCAACGGUGCCUAGAAAGGGGCUUAUUGAAAUAAGUUCUGGUGGCCUCAGCCCAUUGACAAGUGAAAACCAAAAUACCCAAUUACCCUCCAAGAGGUGGUUCUUUUUCAAGGUGGGGCUGUGGCACAUUGGAGUUACUGCAUGGAUACAAAGAAUUCACCUAUUCCCAUGAAAUAUGAGAUUUACAUUUGAACCGCUGAAGAGGAGUAGGGGCUGGGAUUUGAAAAUAAGGGUUUGGGAACAUUUGGUUUUGUGCAGUAGGUGGACUACAGUUCUUAACAGGAGGCUGUGACAUUGGAAAGAAUGACAGUGGGUAAUAUGUCUUCGCUUAUUGUAUUCAGCUUAAUAGUAGACAUUGUGUCCUACUUAGUUACUAAGCUUAUUGGAGCUUUCCAAACAGUAGAUUUUGGGUAUGUCAUCUAAUUGACGCAGACUGUGCAAUAUUAACAAUUUCUAAAAAGAGCAUUUUU